CCGGUGCUCAGGCCUGAGGAAUGACCCCAAAGGAGCCCUGCAUUAGAGCACACUGGGUUCAUAGUUUACCCUCCUCACUGCACCCCAGGAAGACAAGUGAAGCCUGGGUGACUCCAGAGACAUGGAGGCCUCCCCAGGCCAUGGGCAAGGUGAAAGGUCUGGGAAUACUCACCAUCUAGGAGCUCAGGCCUGCUUGGACCAGACUUCAGGAAAACCUGAAGUGAGUGCAGACUCACUCAGAGGUGCACACACACACAGGCACACUCACACGCAGGAUAAAUGCCCAUGCAGACAGGCAUGCACUCUCACAUUCUAGCACCUGGCACCCUGGUUCUGGCUGGACUCACUGUGAAAGACUCAGCCUGUGUCUUACUUCCCUGGUGCCCAUCUGCAAUCCCCCCAGGGUCUUUGGCUAUUGAUGGUUUCACAGAGAGACCUGGACUCAGCUCUCUGGGGCCCCUGGGAGAUCAACCCAUGGUUACGAUUGACACUAGUUGCCUGGGAUGGACCAAUUGACCUCUUGGUGGUUCCCAUCAGUGUCUGGGAGACAGUGGUCAUGAUGCAGGAAGCAAGGACCCAUGUGGAGCUCUGCCAUUAAGUCGAUGUGGGAACAAUCACCCUCGACUGAAAUAUGGGCACUUCUAAUUCAUCUUUCCUCCAGAACAACCUGCUUCCAUAACUGGCAGCCCUGCCCCACCAGUAGACUAUGUCUAAAGCUUCCUGUGCUCUCAGGGCCAACUGAAGCCACCCAGGACUGCAGACUGAAGAUGGGAACUGUAGCCAGCACUACCUGGGGCUCACCCCACCAGCCACCCCACUCCCAACCCAGCUCGCUAGGCUUUGCCAAGCACCAGGCCAGGCUCAGCAGCUUGCGAGCCAUGUAACAUGCCAGAUAGAUAGUGGAGGGAACAUGUAACUGAGUAACCAGCACCAGAGCUGGGCCACACAUUUUUUGUUUUUCAUGCAGCCUGUAUUUGCGGGAGGGUGGUGGUAUUGAUGGCUCUGUGUGCCCCAGGGGUCUCUGUCCAGGCACUCUAGUGCUUCUCUGGUGGCUGUCCCUCUCCACUGGUCCAUAUUUCAAACUUCAGUUUGGGGAAUGGGCCAUCAGCCUAGCAUGCCAGAGAGGAUCCCUCACAAAUGACUCCUGAGACCCCUGGGUGCAGCUCGUACAUGUUUUUAGUCCCUUUGGGACCUUGGCUUGCCUCCCAGCCCUUCCUCCUCAGGCUCUCUGGCUGGUCCCUGCUGACCUCGCACUGAAGAUCCUAGCGCAUUCCCCCAGGAAGGCUUGAGAUGGCGAAGAACUCUGCUUGGAGAACCCAGCUCUGGACACCUGUCUCUGGGCUUUGGCAGCAGGAAGCUGGCCACUGGCCUUAGCCGUCAGCUAGAAUGGGUCAUUUUCUUAGCAGCCAUGAAUGCAGAGGUAUUUCUGGUUAGUCUCAUAAGAACAAAACCAUCCACUUCCCCAGAGUCCUCACACAUUCCACCCAAAAAGCAAAGGAGACACAGGCCUUCUUGGUCUUCAGGAUCCCAUAGCUGUUUCCCUGAACAGGGAAGAAACUUUAGCCUUGGGUUUUCUCUCCAUUCCAUGACACAGGGCUCCAGGCCACUGCAGCUUCCGGACAUCAGUACCCGAUAGGUGUAAAGUGCCUACUCCCUGAAGAAAGAUCUGAAAGUAUUUUUUUGAUGACAGUGGGGAAUAUGUCUGGAUUUUUGGACUCAAUGGCACUAAUUAUAUCUUCUGAGGUUUAUGUGUAAAUAUGAUUUUGUGAAACUAAUCAUAUCUCUAAAGAGGAAAAAUAAACUCCUGCAAAGCUGCUCUAUGUGCUUGAGAGGACAGCAGCUGGGACAACUGCUCUGUGCUCAUCAGACCCAGCUGGAGGGCGGCACUGGCACUGCGCACAUCCAGGGGAGGGCCAGGCAGGGAAAAGGCUUCUGAACUGUGGCAUAAACAAGUAGGGCAGCGGCCUCCCCUUUCAUUUGAAUAUAAAAUUCAAAGUCUUUCUCCCGGCCUAAAAGGCCCACCAUCUGCUGCAGACUCUGCCCACUCCUCUGUUGGGCCUCAUGGCGUGAACCGGCAGCCUCCCUUCUGCCUGCUGAACACAUCCAGCUCAACCCGCUUUAGGGCCUUGAUGAUUCUGUGCCUGGAACACUCCCUCCAGGGUGGCUCUCUGUUGUCCUGCAGGCCUCAGUCCCAGUGUCACCUUCUCAGAGAAGCCUUAUCUGAUCUCUUAUCUAGUGUGGCACCUCCAGCCAAUACCUACCAUGCUGCUAGCCUGUUUUAUUCUCUUCUAACUACUAUCUGCCACUUUCUGUUCAUUUACAUGCUUAUGAUCUAGCCAUCCCCCCUAGGACAUCCCAGCAGGUACCCUGCCUGUCUCUCUUGUAUCUCCCCAGCAUCUAGGACAAUCCUGAUUCACAGAAAAUGUUCAAAGAAUACUUGUUGCACAAAUGGAUGAGUGUUUAGUCUGGAGACGAGAAUACUAUUUCCAAAUAUUUAAAGGUGUUAUAACCAGAAGGAAGAAGUAGUCUUACUGUAUAUGGCACCAAUGUGUGGAAAUUAUGGUGGUGGCAGAUUUUAGCUCCAUCUGAGAAAGGACUAAUAAACAGGGCGAAUCCAACAUAGUGUGGGCUGCUCUGAGAGGUGAGUUCCUUGAUGCUGAAGGCACUCGAGCAGAGGCCAGAAGACCCCUUGGCAGGGACGCUGUAAGGCUGUGGAUGAGGCUCCCACACUGGGCAGGAGCAUGGGUGGAGAGUGUCUCUUCAACCACAAGAGCCUGUCAUUCCAAGUCAUACAUUCUACACUGCCUGGCACACGGUACAGGUUCCCUAAUGCCAGUCUCCAGAGUGUGGACUGAGAAAGACUUUUUCCUGGAAGACCAAAAUGCUCGGUAGGUCCCAUAUUUAAUCACUGAUCCUUGUGAUUUUAUUUUUGCAUGACAAAUACCUUUAAACUCAAUAUAUCUCCACCUGUAGCAAAUUCCUAGGGUGUUUGUUAACAAUUCAGAAUCUGGGGCUCCCCACUUUUAUGGGAUCUGAAUCACUGGGUAUGAGGCUCAGGAAACAGGAGUUGAACAAGCAGCCCAGGUGAUUCUUAUGAGGACCACGCUCCUAGGUCUUCCCUCCCCUGCAUUACAAAGAGGAGCACGUGAUCCCAUGAUUUGCCACCCCAGGGUGCACUGUGCUGUCUCACCCAGUGACCCUGAAAACAAACUUGACCUAAGGUAUUGAGUGGAUCAAGAGAAAACAAAGAGUAUGCCCCAAAGGAAAAGCGACCAUACUGUAUGCCAACACUGAGUCUAAACUCCUCAAGCAGGUGAGAUGCUCUUUAAGCUAGGAAGAGAAUGUUUGUGGCUUUUACAAAAAAGAGGCUGUGAAGAAGGGACAGGCUGUGAAAUGGGCAGCAGGGUAUUGAAGGCGAAAGCCAACACCCAUUCCCUCUCAGUGGCUAUCACAGAAUUGUUUAGUCCAAGAUAACUAGAAGAACAAAGGCCAUCUCCUGCCUCUUGUGUAAUAUUUCAUAAAAGGAAAAAUAUAAACCUCCAUGGGUCUGUCUUUGCUAUGGUCUUCCCUCAGCCCUCCCUUGACUAACUCACCUGUGCACCUUGGAUGCAAAGAAGGCUUCUGGGGAAGAGUUUCCCCAUAACCUCGAGGUCAGAGCUGCCCAGGACAGGGAGAUUAUGAAGGUGGAGCUGUCCAUCUUCUGUGAUUCCUGGCUUGGGAGGGGUUGGCACUAAAGAGGGAACUGGCUUGCUCCAAGAAUGAGACCCACAGAUGCCUAUUUUUGUAUGCCUUAAUAUAGGAACAUGGGUCUCACAUUUUAUAAAUAUCCAGAUGGGCCUGAGUCCUUGUGCCAUGAGACCCUGGUGCAGCAGAAAUGCCCUUUUCACCCCCAAGACUCCCAGAAGAUGGUCAGACUCUUGGAACUGUUGAGCUGGGGUUCUGGUUCACUCAUAAGCCCUUUACAUGUCUGCUUGCUCCUUCGAAUCAGCUAAACAGAUGGCUGGUCUCAGGGGCUUGCAGGAUGCGUCUGAGUUAAGUGUGAUUAUGAAUAGAAUACAGUUUGCAAAGAGAAUCUUCUCUCAGAUUCCCUCUCCACAAGCUCACUCUGUGCAGCCUCUGUUAGGGAUAGUAUAAAGGCUGCUGUGUCAUCAGGUGACCUUGCCACAGAGUUGUGCAUCUGUUGGCUCAGAGUGUGGCCCCAUCCCCAUAGUGACCACCUCCCCAGUUCUGCAAAGGCAUUUUCCCCUCCCACUGCCUGCUGGGGACUCCAAGGCAGCAAUGCCUCUUAACAGCUCUUAGGAUGCCUGGGAAAAAGAGAUUGCUCCCCGUUAGGAAGAAAAAGUAUUUCAUUCACCAGGCUACUAUUUCUCUAGGUAAUAGUCUAUCCAGGUACAUGAGAGGCGGAGGGAAAGGGUCUUUGCUGCUUUGUCAGACACAACUAUUGAAUAAAAUCAAGCCACGCUGGUGAGUUCAC
rnacentral:lncRNA from 1 species